AACGAACGCUGGCGGCAUGCCUAACACAUGCAAGUCGAACGAGACCUUCGGGUCUAGUGGCGCACGGGUGCGUAACGCGUGGGAACCUGCCCUUAGGUUCGGAAUAACUCCCCGAAAGGGGUGCUAAUACCGGAUAAUGUCCUCGGACCAAAGAUUUAUCGCCUUUGGAUGGGCCCGCGUUGGAUUAGCUAGUUGGUAGGGUAAAAGCCUACCAAGGCGACGAUCCAUAGCUGGUCUGAGAGGAUGGUCAGCCACACUGGGACUGAGACACGGCCCAGACUCCUACGGGAGGCAGCAGUGGGGAAUAUUGGACAAUGGGCGAAAGCCUGAUCCAGCAAUGCCGCGUGAGUGAUGAAGGCGUUAGGGUUGUAAAGCUCUUUUACCCGGGAUGAUAAUGACAGUACCGGGAGAAUAAGCUCCGGCUAACUCCGUG
rnacentral:rRNA from 1 species